CUACUGGGAAAGCAGCAUGACAGACAGUGCUGUUGCACACAGCAUGAAGAUAAAAUAAACUAUGCAAUGUCUCCAGGCACCAGGGGACACAAUGAAGGCACUGCAGAAGUGAUGAAGUGCUGGUCCAGAGACAAGAAAUCCUCCGAACAUCUGUCAACCGCUUCAGCACCGAGAGCUGCAAGCAAGCUCUGCCAGUAGCUC